CCAGCUCUUUUGAGCUUGCGCGGAACCUAUCCUACCCUCAGAAAUAGCUUAGGGCGGGGGGAGGGGGGCGAGAAACGUUUGUAACGCGACGCGGAUGAAUGAUUGGACCAACAGUCUGAUACAUCUCUCCCAGAAACAGAAGCGGCGGAAACUUAGAGCUUCUUAGAAAAACUCAUAGCGUGAUGCGUACAUUCCAAGAAGAGUGACCAGUAUGGAUUAUAUGAAAUUCACUGAAGAGUUUUCCGAGGAAAGUAAUAUUAACCAGUUUAAAGUCGCUAGCAAAACAGUAUCACAGUCUCAUAGAGAACUGAUUGCGAAGAAGCAAAGAAGUUUAGCGCAGUUGACGACUGAAACAGAUCGUAGGAGGCUUGGGUACGAAAGCAGGAGAUCGCUUCUUCUAAAAUUGCUUUUUAGAUAACGUUUCUAUUCAAGACCAACGUUAAUCAAUGGAAAC